rnacentral:rRNA from 1 species
ACUCCUACGGGAGGCAGCAGUGGGGAAUAUGCACAAUGGGCGCAAGCCUGAUGCAGCCAUGCCGCGUGUGUGAAGAAGGCCUUCGGGUUGUAAAGCACUUUCAGUCGUGAGGAAGGUAGUGUAGUUAAUAGCUGCAUUAUUUGACGUUAGCGACAGAAGAAGCACCGGCUAACUCCGUGCCAGCAGCCGCGGUAAUACGGAGGGUGCGAGCGUUAAUCGGAAUUACUGGGCGUAAAGCGCAUGCAGGUGGUUUGUUAAGUCAGAUGUGAAAGCCCGGGGCUCAACCUCGGAAUAGCAUUUGAAACUGGCAGACUAGAGUACUGUAGAGGGGGGUAGAAUUUCAGGUGUAGCGGUGAAAUGCGUAGAGAUCUGAAGGAAUACCGGUGGCGAAGGCGGCCCCCUGGACAGAUACUGACACUCAGAUGCGAAAGCGUGGGGAGCAAACAGGAUUAGAUACCCUGGUAGGAUAGCG